rnacentral:lncRNA from 12 species
GUGGAAAGCAAAGUGCAGAGUUCAGGCCUGGGGAACAAAAAGCAGGCAGGGCAGGUGGCUGGCCAGCUCCAUCAGGCCCUGGCACACCAGCACCAUUCCCUGCUGUGCCAGGACAGCCUGGAACCCGAGGGCUGCAGGGGAUCCUCCCUGCCCACUAGCCAGGAGGCUCCUGUUUAAAUGUCUUUAAUACAAAAUAUCACAGAAUCAUUAAGGCUGGAAAAGCCUCCGAGUUCAACUGCUCUCCCAACACUGCCACAGCUGAACCACAUCCCCAGGUGCCACAACCCCAUAGCUUCUAAAUCCCUGGGCAGUUCCAGUGCUUGACAACUCCUUCAGUGAAGGAAUUCUUCCUAAUAUCCAACAAGACACUAAUACUCAGAUUUGGCCAGUGUGAUAGACCAAUUACACUCCCUCCAAUAAAUUGACUGGGGGGAAAACUCCCUGUGCUAAGAACAGUAGGAUAAGAGCACAGCAAUUCCUGCACUGACUGGGACAUUUUUCCUCAUGUUUGUUCCCCCCACAGUUGGGUUUUCGAAAUGCAAAUUAAUUUUCAACUCCCAGCUGUCCUCAGGGUCACUCAGGCACAAAGAAUCCUCUCCUCUCGCAGCAGCAGGCAGGGCAAGGGAGAAAGGGAGAGACAAACUGGGUCUUUUUUAACAGCAAAGGCUUGUGUUCCCUGCCCAGCAGCCCCAAGGAUGUCCCCCUAAAGAAGGAUUCUCCACAGGGAUCCCAUGUACCCCUUUGUAAUGCUGACCCCACACCCAAUAAUCUCGAGUUGCAGCAACUCAGAGGGCAGAUGGUAAAGCAGUAACAGUGCCUGUUGUGGUUGGAAAUUUGCCCAAAACAGCUCAAAACCGUCUGCCUUUGAAAGUAUCCACUUGUGUGCAGUUAGUUUGUGCAGCAGGGAAUGCAUCUGCAGCAAGGGGAGCUCUCUGCUCACGGCCAGUGUAGCUCAACUGUUCCCUUCUUUUCCAGGCUGCUGGAUCUGCCUUUGCUGCCGCACGAGGCUGGGUGUGCAGAGACAUCAUCACCACAUCCAGGGGGACUUCAGGCACCUAAAGCACUCUGGCUUGCCACAGUUCAACAUCAGAAAUGUUCGGAUUUGGGAUGCACACCCAACCCAAGGAAAAAAAUAAACACGGGGGAACACACAGUGCCAGACGCUGAUGAUGUAUGA